GACGAACGCUGGCGGCGUGCUUAACACAUGCAAGUCGAACGGAAAGGCCCUGCUUUUGUGGGGUGCUCGAGUGGCGAACGGGUGAGUAACACGUGAGUAACCUGCCCUUGACUUUGGGAUAACUUCAGGAAACUGGGGCUAAUACCGGAUAGGAGCUCCUGCUGCAUGGUGGGGGUUGGAAAGUUUCGGCGGUUGGGGAUGGACUCGCGGCCUAUCAGCUUGUUGGUGGGGUAGUGGCCUACCAGGGCUUUGACGGGUAGCCGGCCUGAGAGGGUGACCGGCCACAUUGGGACUGAGAUACGGCCCAGACUCCUACGGGAGGCAGCAGUGGGGAAUAUUGCACAAUGGGCGGAAGCCUGAUGCAGCAACGCCGCGUGCGGGAUGACGGCCUUCGGGUUGUAAACCGCUUUCGCCUGUGACGAAGCGUGAGUGACGGUAAUGGGUAAAGAAGCACCGGCUAACUACGUG
rnacentral:rRNA from 1 species